GUGGGGAAUAUUGGACAAUGGGCGAAAGCCUGAUCCAGCCAUGCCGCGUGUGUGAAGAAGGUCUUCGGAUUGUAAAGCACUUUAAGUUGGGAGGAAGGGCAGUAAGUUAAUACCUUGCUGUUUUGACGUUACCAACAGAAUAAGCACCGGCUAACUUCGUGCCAGCAGCCGCGGUAAUACGAAGGGUGCAAGCGUUAAUCGGAAUUACUGGGCGUAAAGCGCGCGUAGGUGGUUCAGCAAGUUGAAGGUGAAAUCCCCGGGCUCAACCUGGGAACUGCCUCCAAAACUACUGAGCUAGAGUACGGUAGAGGGUAGUGGAAUUUCCUGUGUAGCGGUGAAAUGCGUAGAUAUAGGAAGGAACACCAGUGGCGAAGGCGACUACCUGGACUGAUACUGACACUGAGGUGCGAAAGCGUGGGGAGCAAACAGGAUUAGAAACCCGGAUAGUCC
rnacentral:rRNA from 1 species